rnacentral:rRNA from 1 species
CACGUAGGGGGCAAGCGUUGUCCGGAUUCAUUGGGCGUAAAGAGCUCGUAGGCGGCUAUUCAAGUCGAACGUGAAAUCUCGGGGCUCAACUCCGAGCCUGGCGUUCGAUACUGGGUAGCUAGAGUCUGGAUAGGGGGAUCGUGGAAGUUCCUGGUGUAGCGGUGGAAUGCGCAGAUAUCAGGAGGAACACCGGUGGCGAAGGCGGGAUCCUGGGCCAGUACUGACGCUGAGGAGCGAAAGCGUGGGGAGCAA